rnacentral:ncRNA from 1 species
UGUCUCCUCCACCUCCUCCAAUGGUGGAUUCGACCCCGGUGCCGCAAGGCCCCGGGGUCCUUUUUU